AUUCGAGGCUUGAAUAUUUUCUUCAGUUCUUUCAGCAUGAGAAAUGCCAAGCAUGUUCUUCCCUUUUGGUUUUCUAACUCCAGGUCUUUGCACAUGUCAUUAUAAUACUUUAUUUUUUGCACCAUACUGGGACUAUAUUAAGGCUUUAGGGCACAAUAUUCAUUAAGUAAUCAUUAUUAAGCCCCUACUAAGUAUCAGCCACUUUUCAAAGCAUAACAAAUCAUUAAAUUAAUCAGAUCAACAGUGGAAACAAUGUAAUGUAUAAUAACAUUUCAUAACAAGUAGUACCUUGCAGUUAACUUUUUAUUAGUACUCCAUAUGAAUAUGUCAACUAAAAACAGAUUUGCCUCUUCCUUAAAAAUUAGAAAGCAGAUGCUAUUUAUUUGGAAAGGAAUAUGCAAGAAUUAUUCAAAAUAUACAUCCUCUACCAGAAAUACAAUGCCACUAAUUUCUUGAAGCAAGAAGUGGAAAAUCCAUUUAAGAAGUACUUCUGUGAUCUAGUUGUCAUGAGGGUGCCCAGGGCCUAAGUGGGUGUUUUGUUAUGCCUAGGGAUUAUUAUUAUUUUUUUAGUUGGACUAAACAUGUUUAACAGUCGUAGAGGAAAUAGAUCCCAACAUAGACCUGCAUAUGCAUAUGUGACCUCUGACUCCAGUCCCCUUACUUAUGAGAACAUCUUUGCCUGGCUCUUCCCCUAUAGCACACCUGUGCUCUAAUGCGUCUAAGUGCCUGAGUUUCCUAUCUGGAAAAUGCAGAUAUUGUCAGCCAUGUCCAGUUAUCACAGACCAGGAGGGCACAUGAGAAAUUGAUGCCGUUAUUGAAACAAUAUGGGUAAGAGUCUGUCUCAAACAGGUAAUUUUUUGCACCUAUUGUUUCCGUUGUUUAACAGCUCUAAAAAAAGACCUCAAAAGAAUAGCACUAAUACACACAGGAGAAAAAAGAUUCUUUAAUCUUGAUACAUUUAAACAAAAAGAAAAAAAAAUCCAAUGUCAAAAUAAUCUUAAUUCCUUGACCACAUUUCAAAAAAAAAAAACA